rnacentral:rRNA from 1 species
AUGCAUAUCAAUGACUCAGAGAAGCUACACAUUACCAAGCUAAUCAUGUGCUCGUCAAACCUUGUUGCUGCACUUGUUGGCAUUGGACACACCAGCCAGAUUCUAAUGUGCCAGCCAGGGGCCUUGUCGUGGUCAGUACGCGCUUACAAUCAGUGCAAGGAUUUCCAAGACAUGUCAUUCUACCAGGGAAAGCUCUACACCGUUGCCAAGGACGAGAACCUCCUUAUGGUGAACAUCAGCCAGGACCAUAGCACCGGCGAUCCACAGGUUUCUCGGAUUGGACAAGUCAUCAAGGGUGAUUCUCCUCCAUGGUAUUCACGUGUGUUCGAGGACAACAGUAAGGCCUACAAGAAGCUCUACCUAGUUGAAUCGUGUGGGAUGCUUCUGAUGGUACGAAGGACGAUUUGGUGUCAGGUUCCUGAACCUGGAGGGGAUGAUAAAGUUAUGGCUGGAAAGAAUGAGUUUGAGGUUUUCGAGGCUGACUUUGAGCAUUCACGGUGGGUCAAGGUGUCGACCGUGGGGGAUGACCAAGUGCUGUUUCUGGGGCGAAGGUGCUCGAGGUCCAUGUCCGUGUCGCAGUACGGGUUGCCGGGCAAUCGCAUCUUCUUCUUGGACGAUGAUGAGGAUAAUCGCAUAGAGUAUGCCUAUGAUGAGGAGAACACUUCUUUCGGCAUCUAUUCCAUGAGAUUCCGCAGCAUCCGUUCCGGUGCUCCAAAUAUUUCCUGGAAGCGCUGCGCUGAGAUGUAUCUGGCAGCAUGGCUCUUCCCUGAGGACCGUUGA